AACGCUGGCGGCGUGCCUAACACAUGCAAGUCGAACGAGAAAGUGGAGCAAUCCAUGAGUAAAGUGGCGACCGGGUGAGUAACACGUGACUAACCUACCUUUUAGUGGGGGAUAACCCCGGGAAACCGGGGCUAAUACCGCAUAACAUCGCAAGAUCAAAGCAGCAAUGCGCUGGAAGAGGGGGUCGCGGCUGAUUAGCUAAUUGGCGGGGUAACGGCCCACCAAGGCGAAGAUCGGUAUCCGGCCUGAGAGGGUGCACGGACACACUGGAACUGAAACACGGUCCAGACUCCUACGGGAGGCAGCAGUGGGGAAUUUUGCGCAAUGGGGGAAACCCUGACGCAGCAACGCCGCGUGGAGGAUGAAGCCCCUUGGGGCGUAAACUCCUUUCGACCAAGACGAUAAUGACGGUACUG
rnacentral:rRNA from 1 species